GGGCCCGCACAAGCGGUGGAGUAUGUGGUUUAAUUCGAUGCAACGCGCAGAACCUUACCAACCCCUUGACAUCCUGUGCUAACCCGAGAGAUCGGGCGUUCACUUCGGUGACGCAGUGACAGGUGCUGCAUGGCUGUCGUCAGCUCGUGUCGUGAGAUGUUCGGUUAAGUCCGGCAACGAGCGCAACCCACAUCCUUAGUUGCCAGCAGUUCGGCUGGGCACUCUAAGGAAACUGCCCGUGAUAAGCGGGAGGAAGGUGUGGAUGACGUCAAGUCCUCAUGGCCCUUACGGGUUGGGCUACACACGUGCUACAAUGGCAGUGACAAAGAGUCGCAAACCUGCGAAGGCUAGCUAAUCUCGUAAACUUCGUCUAAGUUCGGAUUGCAGGCUGCAACUCGCCUACGUGAAGG
rnacentral:rRNA from 1 species